AUUUAAGACAAGCACGUUAAAAGAGAGACGAAAAGGAUGGUUUAGAAAGAAGACAGCGAAAAAGUUCUCAACUUAUCGGGUAUUAUCUGAUUAAAAGGCGUAUUUUGAGAACCUCAUUAUCCACUGUGACUAUGGAGAACAGCACAGCGUCCGAUUUCGAGCCAAUCAGUGGAGUGAUUCUUAGCGAAGAAAAGCU